UACGUAGGGAGCAAGCGUUGUUCGGAUUUACUGGGCGUAAAGGGCGCGUAGGCGGCAGAUCAAGUCAGUUGUGAAAUCUCUGAGCUUAACUCAGAACUGUCAACUGAUACUGCUCUGCUAGAGUGCGGAAGGGGCAAUCGGAAUUCUUGGUGUAGCGGUGAAAUGCGUAGAUAUCAAGAGGAACACCUGAGGUGAAGACGGGUUGCUGGGCCGACACUGACGCUGAGUGCGCGAAAGCGUGGGGAGCGAACAGG
rnacentral:rRNA from 1 species